CAACUCUCUCCUCUUUCUCUCUCUCUCUCUAGGGUUUUGUUUUUCAUCGAUUGCACGAAAAAUUCCCCAAUUGGUCGUAUCUAUUCGAUCGAAAUGGAAAAUGGAGGCGAAAAUUGAGAUGUUGCUGAAUGUGGAGAAGCAGAUGAGGCAAGUGGGUGAUGUUGCAGGUACGAGGAAGGCCGUCACACCUCUUGCAAUUCUUCUUCUCACACCUCAAACGAUACCCCUCAUUUUCUCCCGCCAAGAAAGCCAAAGCCGGCGAAGGAGAGGAGCCGCAGUUCUGUGGGUACAAAUCCAAGAAAGGAAAACCCCGCUGGAAAAAACCCUUAAACCACCGUUUUCUCCCCAUCAUCAAACCCCACCCACACUCAGAUGGUGAAACCCUCUCACCUUCAUUUCUUUUUUCUUGUGUUCAUUUCUCACCCAAAAAACAGAGUAAAGAUAACCAAGAAAAGCAGGGGGGAGAGAUAGAGCGAGGAGGAGGCCUCAAAUUAUGGUUUGGGAUUACACUGGUUUUGGAUAUACAAGGUACAAUGCCAGAGACAUUAACAAAGAAAUACUAGGGUGUCAUUGUUAAGAGGAUAUAAAUCAGGCAGGAGACCUGAAAACUUGACAAGAUGGCAAUUCUGGAUGGCUUCAGAAGGCAUAUUCCGUUGAUUUCAGACCACUCAAAGUACCGCGUGCUGCUGCAUUCCAAGGGGCUCAUUAUAUUUCACCAUUGAAAAGGCAAAUAAUCUCGUAUGCAUCUGGUAACCAAGCUUGUACACUCGUUUAAGGAAGGUUCGGAGGAAUGGUCCAAGAAGGCGGUAGAGCUUGAGGAGUCAUGAAGACUUUAGAAGUAAGUUCUAUUUGUAAUUUAUUUAUCCAACAAUGGCGAAUGAUGCACAGUACACUAAUUCCUCUUGUGAACAUGCAGUUUGGUUGUGGAAUUUCAAAAUUAUCUGUUUGUCUUAUGUCUUCAUGCAUGCUGGAUGCGAAUGGAAGGUGUAUGAGGUGGCAAAGACGGUCUUUGAAAACAAUGACACAGAAACUAGAAAGUCUUUGCAAAGUGAUAAUGGUGGUAAAAAGUUGAUCAUUUUCUUGGCUUUCACUCUUCAUUUCAUCCAUCAAGCAUUCCUUUAUAUGUUUGCAUUGUUAUCUUGAGUUCUUGAUAUUAUCAUCUACAUUAUGGGGUUGUGAUUUUCUUUUUAUCUAUGGCAAGUUUGUUCCUUUGAUAAAUAGUGUUGGAUGCUUUUUUAGUGGUUUUCAAUUACUUUACUACUGUGGUGUGGGUGUUUCUCAUCUUGUUUAAUUUGGUUGUGCUUUUAUGUUAUCUCAUUCAAGUAAACGACGUGUAUUGUGUUCUUUGUGGUAUAUCAAGCUCUGUGAGACAUUUUGUUGUCGGGAUGUCUGUAAUUGUUUAGCAUUUUAGGAUUAGACUCUUGGUUCAAUUGAAAUUACAUGAAACUUCUCAUAUUCUAAUUUUGAUUUGAACAGCCCAAUUCACCUUCCAAAUGAGAUAAAACCAUUUCAAAAGUAAAGAAUUCCAUGACAUAUAUGUAG